UAGUGUGUCAAUUGCCUGGUUCUCCACUGACAGCUAAAAUUAAACAAAAAAGUGAAUUCCGUUCUACAGUGUGAACAUCUUAUGGGAACACUAGAGGAUAUCCAUAGACAGCAGAAAAAAAAUAGCAAAAUAGAUAUUUUGACUCACAGAAAAUGAAUGUUUGCAAAGAUUCACCAAGAAAUAAAGUCAACCAAAAAAGCAAAGUCAUGGAAAAGAAUUUUUCAUCCAGUGACUACCAAAUGGAGGAAUUAUCGUCUUGAAGGGGAACGUAUCAAUCACUUAAGGAAACUAGAUGGGAGACUGAAGGUGGCAAAAGGAGAGGCAUAGCAAAUGGAAGAAGGUGUCCUAGAGUCACUCUUAAACUUUGAGAAGUUUGAGAUAUUAGGUUGGUGCAAGAGUAAUUGCAGGUUUUACCAUUACUUUUAAGAGCACAAGGACCAAACAUAUGAAUAUUUACACUAAAAAAUAAACUAGAGUUGCUUCAUCUAAGACUACUGUAAAUGCUUUUCUCCCAUUAAUCUUAAUUUGAAAAAGGAAAAAGAGAUAGUGAUGUUUACCAACCUCUCAACAGGAUUCAUGAAAGACACCUGGGAAUCUGACUGGGAAGAUAUUCUUACCCUACGGCUGGCGUGUCAGAUCCUGGGUUCCCUUGAUGUGACAUCCAGAGGAGCAGAGUGGUUUUGGUUAUCCUGCUCUACAACAAAACUGUAGAGCUUUCUGUAUCCUGCAGUACAACAAAACUGCAGAAGCCAAGGGGAAACUUCCCCUUCGCCUUCUGAAGGCUCACUGAAAAUCAGCUGACAAACAGCCCAUUAUUAGGAGAAAAGCCAAACAAAAUUUAUUAUUGCACACACAUGUGCAUGGAAGUAAUACAAAAUGUGAAAACUCAAAGAAAGGGCCAGGUGGUUAACGCCAUUACACCAUCUUGAGAUUAUAGAAAAAACAUGGGCUUGGAGUGUGGCAAGACGGUUAUAGGAGGGAGAAAGGCAGGCAUGGGGCAAAGGUGGGCUUGUUGUGUACAUGAAACCUCACAGACAGCAGCUCUCAGAAAAAAAGAGAUGGUAGUUUGUGGUUGAGUACAUCUUUUCUAGAUCUGGAUAAGGGGGAGGGCCUCAGAGAAAGUCUGGGUAUUUAUUUCACUAACGUGGAUUUUUCUCUACAGAUGCAAAUUUCUUCCACAAAAGGCAGCUUUUCAGGGCUAUUCCUGUCCGUAGGCCCUCUGAAUAACCCUCUUGAAAUAUGUCACUGAAGUAUAUUUUGGAGUGAAAUAUUUUUGUUUUCCUUUAUUGGC
rnacentral:lncRNA from 1 species